rnacentral:rRNA from 1 species
GGAUGAACGCUGGCGGCGUGCCUAAUACAUGCAAGUCGAGCGAACGGACGAGAAGCUUGCUUCUCUGAUGUUAGCGGCGGACGGGUGAGUAACACGUGGAUAACCUACCUAUAAGACUGGGAUAACUUCGGGAAACCGGAGCUAAUACCGGAUAAUAUUUUGAACCGCAUGGUUCAAAAGUGAAAGACGGUCUUGCUGUCACUUAUAGAUGGAUCCGCGCUGCAUUAGCUAGUUGGUAAGGUAACGGCUUACCAAGGCAACGAUGCAUAGCCGACCUGAGAGGGUGAUCGGCCACACUGGAACUGAGACACGGUCCAGACUCCUACGGGAGGCAGCAGUAGGGAAUCUUCCGCAAUGGGCGAAAGCCUGACGGAGCAACGCCGCGUGAGUGAUGAAGGUCUUCGGAUCGUAAAACUCUGUUAUUAGGGAAGAACAUAUGUGUAAGUAACUGUGCACAUCUUGACGGUACCUAAUCAGAAAGCCACGGCUAACUACGUGCCAGCAGCCGCGGUAAUACGUAGGUGGCAAGCGUUAUCCGGAAUUAUUGGGCGUAAAGCGCGCGUAGGCGGUUUUUUAAGUCUGAUGUGAAAGCCCACGGCUCAACCGUGGAGGGUCAUUGGAAACUGGAAAACUUGAGUGCAGAAGAGGAAAGUGGAAUUCCAUGUGUAGCGGUGAAAUGCGCAGAGAUAUGGAGGAACACCAGUGGCGAAGGCGACUUUCUGGUCUGUAACUGACGCUGAUGUGCGAAAGCGUGGGGAUCAAACAGGAUUAGAUACCCUGGUAGUCCACGCCGUAAACGAUGAGUGCUAAGUGUUAGGGGGUUUCCGCCCCUUAGUGCUGCAGCUAACGCAUUAAGCACUCCGCCUGGGGAGUACGACCGCAAGGUUGAAACUCAAAGGAAUUGACGGGGACCCGCACAAGCGGUGGAGCAUGUGGUUUAAUUCGAAGCAACGCGAAGAACCUUACCAAAUCUUGACAUCCUUUGACAACUCUAGAGAUAGAGCCUUCCCCUUCGGGGGACAAAGUGACAGGUGGUGCAUGGUUGUCGUCAGCUCGUGUCGUGAGAUGUUGGGUUAAGUCCCGCAACGAGCGCAACCCUUAAGCUUAGUUGCCAUCAUUAAGUUGGGCACUCUAAGUUGACUGCCGGUGACAAACCGGAGGAAGGUGGGGAUGACGUCAAAUCAUCAUGCCCCUUAUGAUUUGGGCUACACACGUGCUACAAUGGACAAUACAAAGGGCAGCGAAACCGCGAGGUCAAGCAAAUCCCAUAAAGUUGUUCUCAGUUCGGAUUGUAGUCUGCAACUCGACUACAUGAAGCUGGAAUCGCUAGUAAUCGUAGAUCAGCAUGCUACGGUGAAUACGUUCCCGGGUCUUGUACACACCGCCCGUCACACCACGAGAGUUUGUAACACCCGAAGCCGGUGGAGUAACCUUUUAGGAGCUAGCCGUCGAAGGUGGGACAAAUGAUUGGGGUGAAGUCGUAACAAGGUAGCCGUAUCGG